rnacentral:lncRNA from 1 species
UUGAGAUGGAGUCUCGCUCUGUCACCCAGGCUGGAGUACUGUCGCCUGAUCUUGGCUCACUGCAACCACUGCCUCCCGGGUCCAGGCGAUUCUCCUGCCUCAGCCUCCCACGUAACUGGGAUUACAGGUGCAUGCUACCACACCUGGCCAUUUUUUUGUAUUUUUAGUAGAGAUGGGGUUUCACUGUGUUAGCUAGGAUGGUCUUGAUCUGACCCCGUGAUCCGCCCGCCUCGGCCUCUCAGAGCUGAGAGGAACAAAGAGAAUCUCAGUCCAGCUCAAGUUUUCAGCAUGAAGGGACAGAGAAAAGGCUAUCGUGGCUCAUUUUUCCCUGUUGAAAUGAGCAGCCAUGGCAGCUCUUCCCUGGCACCAAGCUUGGGAAGUCGGCACCUUCUCCAGUCUUCAUGUCAGCUGUGGAGAUGCAGGGAGUCCUGCUUGCUAGCAGAAUAAGAAAAUGGAUUCCUUCAAUUCAAUGCUAUCCAGUCUGUAGCAUUAAUCCUCUCUUCCCCUCUCUUCCUGUGGAAAAGCUUACUGGCUCACCUAUUUGGAAGGAGUCCUAAGGACAGGGAGGGUAAAGGAAUGUUAGCAGGAAAGCUGCAGGAAGUUAGAGAAAGUCUAGGGCCAGUUUCUGGCAGAAAAAAAAAAUUUCCCCCUUCCCCCUUGGGCAGUAAAGAAGAAAAUUAAAUGAGAGUGUCAAAACGGUUUGCUGAUGUGCAAACCGCUUACUAGACCUUGGUCAAGGUCUAAUAUCUUUUUAAGAAUGAUGGCUUUGGAAUUAGACCUUUUGGGGUUCAGAUCUCAGCUCUUCCUUUUGAUUGGCUGUGGAGCUGUGGGUAAUUUGCUUAAUCUCUUUGAGCUUUCAGUUCACUAUGAAACACGACCAUGUGGAGAUUAAAGAAUCAAAUGUACUACCCAAUACACAGUAGUUCACCAUACUGAAUGUUCACACUUUGCACCAUGAACCCAGGUGAGGUACCUAUGAUCAUCCAGGCCAGGACCAGGGUGAGGCAAGUGAGGAGCUGAAGUACACCAUGGUGUAUAUCUAUCACUUUCUUUAUCCAAUCCACUGUUGAUGGGCACCUGCGUUGAUUCCAUGUCUUUGUUAUUGUGAACACCACAGCAAUGAACAUUUCUACAGGCUGUACAAGAAGCAUGAUUUCAACAUCUGCUUCUGCUGAGGGCCUCAGACUUCUUCCACUUAUGAUGAAAGUUUAAGGGGAACUGGUAUGUGCAGACAUCACAUGGCAAGAAAGGAAGCAUAAGAGAGAGGAGAAGGCUGUCAUGCCCUUUUUAACAACCAGUGCCCACAGGAACUAACAAAGUAAGAACUCACUCAAUAACUCAAGUGUGACAUCAAGCCGUUCAUGACCCACAUACCUCUCACUAAGCCCCAUCUCCAACAUUGGGGAUCAAAUUUCAACAUGAAGUUUGGAGGGUCAACUAUCCAAACUAUAGCAGAAGGUUUGUUUUGAUUUGAUUUGUUUUGUUGUGUUUUUCAUAUAGAUGUCUGGGUAUCUCCUCUACAGAGCCUGAUUAAAUUGGUCUGUUGGAUUUGGGUAGUGUUAUUUUUUAAGUUUCCCAGAUGAUUCUCAGCCCAGGGUUGAGAAUGACUUAUGGCUUCUUCUUGGACUCAGGAGACUGCAUAGAUGGGUGCUAUGGAGUGAGGAGCACCUUCUGGGGUUGUGGUGGGGUCAGAAGUAACUGAACAGGAUCUAACAGGUUUGGGAAAGCCUCUUAUAACACAAUUCACAAUUUUCUAACCUGUUUAAAC